rnacentral:rRNA from 1 species
UACGUAGGGUGCAGGCGUUAAUCGGAAUUACUGGGCGUAAAGCGUGCGCAGGCGGUUUUGUAAGUCUGUCGUGAAAUCCCCCGGGCUCAACCUGGGAAUUGCGAUGGAGACUGCAAGGCUAGAAUCUGGCAGAGGGGGGUAGAAUUCCACGUGUAGCAGUGAAAUGCGUAGAGAUGUGGAGGAACACCGAUGGCGAAGGCAGCCCCCUGGGUCAAGAUUGACGCUCAUGCACGAAAGCGUGGGGAGCAAACAGG